UACGUAGGUGGCAAUCGUUAUCCGGAAUUAUUGGGCGUAAAGAGCGCGCAGGUGGUUGAUUAAGUCUGAUGUGAAAGCCCACGGCUUAACCGUGGAGGGUCAUUGGAAACUGGUCGACUUGAGUGCAGAAGAGGGAAGUGGAAUUCCAUGUGUAGCGGUGAAAUGCGUAGAGAUAUGGAGGAACACCAGUGGCGAAGGCGCUUCUCUGGACUGUAACUGACGCUGAGGCUCGAAAGCGUGGGGAGCAAACAGGAUUAGAUA
rnacentral:rRNA from 1 species